AUUUUUUUGUCUACUCUGAUUUCCCUUAGAAUCACUGAAGAUUAUAUGUGUAGCACUUUCUUAUCAUCUCCUAAGAUGGAUCUAAGAUUAAUAACAUUUACUGCUAAUUUUGUGAAAGAGGCACCAGGUAAAGCUAAAUCGAAGACAAGAAGAAAUUAAGGGGUAUGACAACAGAUAUGAUUUUUUCCCCUGAUUAAGGAAUGCAGUUAAAUACUUAUAAAAAAAAAAAACCAAACUCUUAGCCACAAUGGAACACAAUUAAAAAUAAUAAUAAUGCCAUAUCCUAUUCAUUUGGGUCAGACAUAUGGAUCCCAGAUUGCCAAUUGUUGACACCAACACAAUGCCCUCAAAAGAUUUUUCCAUAAUUUACCAUCUUCAUUGCAAUUACCAACCGUCAUCUUUUGUACAUGUUUCUAAUACAGUCACUUUAUGCUCGGCAUUAUCACAUAUCAAAAAAAUCAAGC
rnacentral:lncRNA from 1 species